GCCAAUUGGAUAUUGUAGUGGUGCAAAUUUCCUAGCGGAAAUUUGAGUCUUUUUUCGGUCACUCCUGCCCUUGUUACAUUUUGGCCUGAUUAAAAUGUUGUGGCUAAUUCUGGCUAAAUCCACAUUGACAUCUGCCUAACACCGAUUGAUCAAUCUCCUGGAGAAGCUAAAGAGAACUGGGCCGGGUGCAGUGGCACAUGCCUGUAAUCCCAGCAUGUUGGGAGGCCAAGGUCGGCGGAUCACUUCAGCCCAGGAGUUUGAGACCAGUGUGAGCAACAUGGCGAGAUCCUGUCUCUACAAAAAAUACAAAACUUAGCCCAGCAUGGUGGUGUGCACCUGUAGCCUAUAGUCCCAGCUACAUGGGAGGCUGAGGUGGGAGGAUCUCUUGAACCCAGGAGGUCGAGACUGCAGUGAACCGUGAUUGCACCAUUGCACUUUGGCAUGGGCAACAGAGCAAGACCACAUCAAAAAAAAAAAAGAAAGAAAGAAAAGAAAAAAAGAAUCGAAGUCUUUCUGGGUCAAGCUGAUUAGCAGGUUUACAGUGGCCUUGUCUCAAAAGUUCCCACUUGUGAUUAGGAACUACAAAGCUGUGAUUAUUAUUAAUCUUCUGCACCUAUUGCUUUUGAGCAUGGCUAUCUGAAGUAUAGCCACAUCAAUUAAUAAUGGCCGAUGAGCUUUUAAUUACAGACCUCGGUAAUUGGCUGGUUAAAGGAAGAUUGGCAUCAGUAACUGAGUUCUUUUUGUUCAAUCCAUUUUGGGACUGCAACUAUAUUAGGCAUACAUCCAUGCCCCCAUGAAACUGUAAGGGACUGGAAGGAGGCAGUGUGUCCCGUGAAUCCUCAUGAACCAUCCCAGUCUUUCUUACUCCCCUGCACGUCCUCUUCAUUUACACAGAGAUAUCAACCAGGAUAUGGCAUUGCAUUGGAUCCCAACCAGGAUAUGACGUUACAUUGGAUCCCAACCAGGAUAUGGCAUUGCACUGGAUCCCAACCAGGAUAUGGCAUUGCACUGGAUCCCAACCAGGAUAUGGCAUUGCGUUGGAUCCCAACCAGGUUAUGGCAUUACAUUGGAUCCCAACCAGGUUAUGGCAUUGCAUUGGAUCCCAACCAGGAUAUGACAUUGCAUUUACUCAUCACGCCUCCUUAGGUUCCUCUUGGCUGUGACGGUUUCUCAGACUAUCCUUGUUUUUUAGGACCUUGACAGUUUUGAGGCAUACUGGUGAGUGUUUUGUAAAACAUACUUCUAUUGGGAGUUGUCUGAUGUUUUUCUUACGAUUAGACUGGGG
rnacentral:lncRNA from 1 species